GCUGCCGGCCAGGCAGUCGCGGGCGUCGGAGAGAAAACCGGCGUUCGAGGAAAGUCCGGACACCGAAGAGCAGGGUGGUUGGGUGACCGACCCGGGGAAACCCGCGGGAAAGUGCCACAGAAACAAACCGCCUAAGCGACGGGACCGCUGCCCGAAGCAGCCGGCUUGGCCGGUUGCGCAGGGAUCUUGUACCCCGCCGCCGGCAAGGGUGAAAAGGUGCGGUAAGAGCGCACCGGCGGCGUGGUGACACGCCGCGUCCAGGCAAACCCCACCCGGUGCAAGGCCAAGCAGGGGCGACGACGCUGCUCGCCGAGUCCCAGGUAGGCCGCAGGUGCCGAGAGGCCCGUCCCGUCUCGCCACGGGGCAGAUGGAUGACUGUCCAAGACAGGAUCCGGCUUACCGGCCGGCUAAC
rnacentral:RNase_P_RNA from 1 species